GUGGGGAAUAUUGGACAAUGGGCGAAAGCCUGAUCCAGCCAUGCCGCGUGUGUGAAGAAGGUCUUCGGAUUGUAAAGCACUUUAAGUUGGGAGGAAGGGCAGUAAGUUAAUACCUUGCUGUUUUGACGUUACCGACAGAAUAAGCACCGGCUAACUUCGUGCCAGCAGCCGCGGUAAUACGAAGGGUGCAAGCGUUAAUCGGAAUUACUGGGCGUAAAGCGCGCGUAGGAGGUUUUGUAAGUUGGAGGUGAAAUCCCCGGGCUCAACCUGGGAACUGCCUCCAAAACUGCAUGACUAGAGUACGGUAGAGGGUAGUGGAAUUUCCUGUGUAGCGGUGAAAUGCGUAGAUAUAGGAAGGAACACCAGUGGCGAAGGCGACUACCUGGACUGAUACUGACACUGAGGUGCGAAAGCGUGGGGAGCAAACAGGAUUAGAAACCCCUGUAGUCC
rnacentral:rRNA from 1 species